UAAAUUUUCAGUGAUGAAUGUCUUAAAUAAUAAAAUUAUUAUCUCAUUGGAUUUGUGGUCAGGUGAAAUAACUGAAAGCAACUCUAGUAGGCAGGAUUCUGAGACAGCCCCAAGAUUCCUGCCCCAGUGCACCUUGUGUAUCAGGAACACACCUUGUAUAAUGCUCUCCUCCUGAGUAUGGGAGGCACUGUGAAUACCAUGGGAUAUCACUCCAGUCACUGUGUUAUGUUAUAGGACAAAAGGGGUUUUGUGGAUAUAAUUAAGUUACAAAAUCAUUUGAGUCUGAGUUAAUCAAAAGAGACAUUGUCUUGGGUGGGCCUGAGCUAACACAGUGAGCCCUUAAAAGAGAUAGGCAGUGGCAGAGGCCUUCCUCUACUGGCCUUGAGGAAGUAAGCUGUCCAGUUGGUAAAGGAGGGGACCAUGAGUCCAGCAUGAGUGGGUGGCAUCUGGGACGCCUGACUGACAGCCAGCAAGAAAACUGGAACCUCACGAAUACCCCCGCAAGGAAAUUAAUUCUGCCAACAACCGGCGAGCUUAGAAGAGGGCUCUACCUCUCGCAUGAGCUAGCAGCCCUAACCAGCUACUUGAUUUUAGCCUGGUAAGGCCUUGAGCAGAGAACCCAGCUAACUGGACAGGAUCAACAGAUAAUGAAUUUGUGCUGUGUUAAGUCACUAAGUUUGUGGCCAAUUGGUUACACACUAAAGAAAAAAAACGGGAGAGCGGCAGGGCCGUGAGCGUGACUCGCCCGCUCCGUGCUGCUUCCCUCGCGCCGCCGGCCCGCGCUGCCCAAGCAACCAUGUCUGAGGAGAAGCCCAAGGAGGGCCUGAAGACGGAGAACUACCACAUCAACCUGAAGGUGGCCGGGCAGGAUGGCUUCGUGGUGCAGUUCAAGAUCAAGAGGCACACGCCGCUGAGCAAGCUGAUGAAAGUCUACUGCGAGACGCAGGGCUUGUCAAUGAGACAAAUUAGAUUCAGGUUUGACGGGUAGCCAGUUAAUGAAACUGACACUCCAGCACAGCUGGAGAUGUAGGACGAGGACACCAUCGAUGUGUUCCAGCAGCAGACAGGAGGUACGUGCCGGAGAGCAGCCUGGCGGGGCAUGGUUUCUAGAAGACCAUCCGUCCUGUCCUUGCAUUGCUGUUGAAUGGUGACCAUGCCGACCACAAAGCGGUCUGUGGAAACUUGAGGACGUUCACCACAGUGAUUUUCCUCUCCUUGAUGUACUUCAAGUGCAACUCAGAACUAUCUGCAGGGAUGAAUCUGUAACUUAAAUUGGGCCAAUCAGAAUUGUUAUCUUUGUUCAGGUAAAAUGAGUUGCAAAGUAUUUUGGGUUUGUUUUUGUUUUCCCCCUCCUGUAACAUUUUUUUAACCCCAAAAUUGUAGCCUGAAUGUUCGCUUUUAGUCUGGCCAGGGAUCCAACUCCUGAGUUGGUUGCCUCUGCUCCACUCACUCCAGUCACAUAGAGAAUUGGUGUUUCCCGCAGUAGAGGUGCAGCUGUUGGACAGGUGUUGGGGGAAAGGUGGGUAGGGAGGACAGACUGUCAUUUGCUGUUAUACGCACAGAUGAUUAAAAUGCUAAAUAUUGCAAAUUUAAGCUUUGUCAGAAUAUGGUAAAGUUUAAGGGAGAAUACUGGAAUGUUUUUUCAAAGGGUAAAAAAUAACUGAGUCCUUUGGUAAUUAGGUCCAAUGGGCUCUCUGGCCCUUGAGCAUGUGACCUUGGGGUCUGAGGCCCAGGACCCACCCCCCCUGCCACCCUUGCACCCCACUUCCUGUUCAGUACCUGGCAUUGACACACAGGCAAGUAUUGGCAUAACCAAAAUUGGCUUUUUCUUCUUCUUAAUAUUGAAGAAAUUCCCACAUUUCUCAUUUGGUAUUGGUGUUGUGGCCUCAGAUUUCUUCUAGUAUUUGCUUCUGAUGAAUCAUUAUGGUCUAUACAUAAAAAAGUAAGAUUAAGUAUUGCUGAAUUUGCAGUUACAUUGUUGUGUAAAAGCUACUUCCGAGUGUGGUUACAAAUGAAUCCAUGGAAUGAUGACUUCACGUUCUUCUCAUGGAUUUGUGCUGUGCUGCUUUCCAAAUAUGUAUUGAAUUUGUGCAUUAGUUUGGUGAUUUCAGUUCUGUGAAAUAUUUUGGGAUCUAUACCAAUUAAACAUUUUCAUAGUUCUGCC